rnacentral:rRNA from 1 species
GUCCGCGCGGUAACGAUGGAUGCCCGCUGUUGGCGAUAUAGUGUCAGCGGCCAAGCGAAGCGUUAAGCAUCCCACCUGGGAGUACGCCGGCAACGGUGAAACUCAAAGGAAUUGACGGGCCCGCACAAGCGGAGGAACAUGUGGUUAAUUCGAUGAUACGCGAGGAACCUUACCGGGCUUGAACUGCCAGCGAACGAUUCAGAGAUGAUGAGGCCCUUCGGGCGCUGGUGGAGGUGCUGCAUGGUUGUAGU